UAAUUUAACCAGGUUAACCUUUUAAUUUAACCAGGUUAACCUUUUAAUUUAACCAGGUUAACCUGUUUAAUCUAACCAGGUUAACCUUUUCAUUUAACCAGGUUGUCCCAUUUUGACUUAAAACAAUCAUGAUAUUGAGGUCAAUAUCAGUGGGCUGUUAUAUUUUAAUACAGAUACUGUCGUUCGUAGCUUCACUUUUCUGUUCGAGACAACGCCGGUCCUUAUCAUUCAACAAACACACAGUGCACUGGUUCCUCUCUAGGUUUAUAAUCUCCACCCUUCAUAGCCUGGUUCCUCCUCUAGGUUUAUAAUCUCCACCCCUCAUAGCCUGGUUCCUCUCUAGGUUUAUAAUCUCCACCCCUCAUAGCCUGGUUCCUCUCUAGGUUUAUAAUCUCCACCCCUCAUAGCCUGGUUCCUCUCUAGGUUUAUAAUCUCCACCCCUCAUAGCCUGGUUCCUCCUCUAGGUUUAUAAUCUCCACCCCUCAGAGCCUGGUUCCUCCUCUAGGUUUAUAAUCUCCACCCCUCAUAGCCUGGUUCCUCUCUAGGUUUAUAAUCUCCACCCCUCAUAGCCUGGUUCCUCCUCUAGGUUUAUAAUCUCCACCCCUCAUAGCCUGGUUCCUCCUCUAGGUUUAUAAUCUCCACCCCUCAUAGCCUGGUUCCUCUCUAGGUUUAUAAUCUCCACCCCUCAUAGCCUGGUUCCUCUCUAGGUUUAUAAUCUCCACCCCUCAUAGCCUGGUUCCUCUCUAGGUUUAUAAUCUCCACCCCUCAUAGCCUGGUUCCUCUCUAGGUUUAUAAUCUCCACCCCUCAUAGCCUGGUUCCUCUCUAGGUUUAUAAUCUCCACCCCUCAUAGCCUGGUUCCUCUCUAGGUUUAUAAUCUCCACCCCUCAUAGCCUGGUUCCUCUCUAGGUUUAUAAUCUCCACCCCUCAUAGCCUGGUUCCUCUCUAGGUUUAUAAUCUCCACCCCUCAUAGCCUGGUUCCUCUCUAGGUUUAUAAUCUCCACCCCUCAUAGCCUGGUUCCUCUCUAGGUUUAUAAUCUCCACCCCUCAUAGCCUGGUUCCUCUCUAGGUUUAUAAUCUCCACCCCUCAUAGCCUGGUUCCUCUCUAGGUUUAUAAUCUCCACCCCUCAUAGCCUGGUUCCU